rnacentral:rRNA from 1 species
GGUAACGGCUCACCUAGGCGACGAUCCCUAGCUGGUCUGAGAGGAUGACCAGCCACACUGGAACUGAGACACGGUCCAGACUCCUACGGGAGGCAGCAGUGGGGAAUAUUGCACAAUGGGCGCAAGCCUGAUGCAGCCAUGCCGCGUGUAUGAAGAAGGCCUUCGGGUUGUAAAGUACUUUCAGCGGGGAGGAAGGCGAUAAGGUUAAUAACCUUGUCGAUUGACGUUACCCGCAGAAGAAGCACCGGCUAACUCCGUGCCAGCAGCCGCGGUAAUACGGAGGGUGCAAGCGUUAAUCGGAAUUACUGGGCGUAAAGCGCACGCAGGCGGUCUGUCAAGUCGGAUGUGAAAUCCCCGGGCUCAACCUGGGAACUGCAUUCGAAACUGGCAGGCUAGAGUCUUGUAGAGGGGGGUAGAAUUCCAGGUGUAGCGGUGAAAUGCGUAGAGAUCUGGAGGAAUACCGGGUGGSSGAAAG